CUCCCCCCUCACAUUCCCAGCUGAAACAGCCUCUGGCACAGCCAGCAAGGAGCUGAGCCGACACACCAGCAGCUGGUUGUCACUGCUCAGAGGAUCUGCAGUAGCCACCCAGCAGCUCCUCAGCUGCUCAGGCAGGUCUCCUUCCUGAGGCCAUCUCCUGGUCAGGAGCCUGUCAAGCCACAGGCCAGAAGGGGCUUAAGGCAGCUCAGACAUGACAAGGAGGACUCUUCUCCCCUUUCCCUGACCAAGCCCUCUGUAAGGCACUCCCUUUGGACAGAGAGACUUUCUUCCAGGUCCACAUUCUCCUGUGAUAAUCCAGGCAAGUCUAGGAAUCCAAGUACAAGGUUAGCUGAAGUUGGGGCAGGGCCAUAGGGUUGAAUUUCAAAAGGUUAAAAAAAAAAAAAAAA
rnacentral:lncRNA from 1 species